CCUAGAAGAGAGUGUGCAAAUGAAAAUAAAGAAACUAUGAACCUAGAGGAGAGUGUGCAAAUGCAAGGUGAACACCCGUCCCACAAUACUACCCACCCCAUAAUCCACUGUCCCGAACAAAUGCUACUACAGCUCGCUUUAUUUAUUUAUUUAUUUUUUAUAUAAAUUUAUUUUGCCCCCAAAAACCCUAAUAAAAAAGUUUCCCAAUAUCUCUCUCCUCCCUCUCUUCUAGUUCUGGGUUUGUUCUGGAGUGAAUAGUCUUUUGAUAUCCUGCAAAAUAACACCAUGUCGGUGGUGGAGGAUGGUCGGAGAAAGACGGAAGGUCUAGUUGUGAAAAUGGCGGAGAUCGAAGGGAGAGGGAGAGCACUGAUUGCAUCUAAGCCGCUAAAAGGCGGCGAAAUCGUCCUGAAAGAGACUCCUAUUCUUCUCUACUCUGCUCUUCCUUUAAAACAGCCUCCGCCUCAGCCAUCUGAACAGCAGCUCACCGGCCGCAGCAAUUACUGUUAUAACUGCUUCAAAUCAAUCGCGGUCGCCGCGAAAAAUUCAUCGAUGAUUUCAUGCCCUUCCUGUUACUCUCUCUUCUUCUGUAGCCCUAACUGCCAAUCCGUCGCUCUCUCGUCGUCUCACUCCCCUUGGGUUUGCCAAGCCCUAAGUCGACUCAGAGAUGCCCCUUCUAAUUGGCAAUCGCUUCAUCACCACCACCAAGCUGAACGCCAAGUCCAAGCCCGUUUCCUCGUCGCCGCCUACAAUCUUGCCGUCGUUUCCCCUUCCGACUUCAGGACUCUUCUGUCUCUUCAAGGCAACCAUUCCAAUGGUGAUGACAAAGAUGCCCUCUUCCUCCAUUCUCUCGUCUCUUCCCUCUGUCCUCCUCCUCCUCCGCCUAUACAGCACCAUGCCUUUUCCUUGGAACUGACGGCGGCUCUACUGGCCAAGGACAAGCUCAACGCUUUCGGUUUGAUGGAGCCUUUCUCUUUCUCUCAAGACCAAAAUGGGGAUAGAUCUGUUAGGGCUUACGGAAUUUACCCUAAAGCUUCUUUCUUUAACCACGAUUGCCUUCCCAAUGCUUGUAGGUUUGAAUAUCUAGAUAAUAAUGACCACCCUGUCAUUGUCAACAACAACAACACGGACAUGAUCGUUAGGGCAAUCCAUGAUAUCCCCCAAGGCAGGGAGAUAUGCUUGAGUUAUUUUCCGGUAAAUUUCAACUAUUCCGAGAGGCAGAAUAGGUUGAGAGAAGAUUAUGGUUUCACUUGUGAGUGCGACCGUUGCAAGGUUGAGGCAAAUUGGUCAGAGGACGACAAUGACAAUAAUGAGAAUGAGGACGACGACAAUGAGGAGGCAAUGGACGAGGACUUGGUGGAGGAGGAAUAUGACCGCAUGGCCGAUUCAGAGGCUGAAGAUGGUAUUGAGGUAAAGAGAGACGAUGAUGAUUUCCCUCAUGCAUAUUUCUUCUUGAGAUACAUGUGUAACAGAAAGAAUUGCUGGGGUACUUUGGCUCCCCUGCCUCCAUCAUCUAAUGUGAUGGAGUGUAAUGUUUGUGGCAACUUGAGGAAGGAUGAACACUAUGAUGCCUUGGACUAAUGAGCUCUUUUUCUGCUUGGGUGAGUUGUUUCCUACUUUUAAACUCUCUUCUUGCAUUCACUGCUACUCUUGAGUCUUGUAGUAGCAUUAUGCAAAGUAUUGUUUCAUUACUUUAGUCUUUUGUGUGGAUUCUAGCUGGUUAAAACUUCUUGCUGCUGUUUGUUGCAACUUUUCUUCACCUAUUCUACAACUACCAUUUACGUUAGCUCCAAACUCAAUCAGAUGUGUUUUUAGAAUUCCUUUUCCCUAUAUUUGGGUUCGUGUUUCCAUAGGCAGGAGAUUUGGGUUCGUGUUUCCUUAGGCAGCAGAUUUCUUGUUUACCUGCAUUAUUUAGUAAGCAUUGCAGAGGGAGGAGAUGUUGGAGUGAUAUUAAAAAGAAGAAAUGUAAUCAUUGUGAAGAAAGUUACUGAAGUGAUGUUGGAAAGAAGAACAGGAACUGCGAGCCAAUGCCUAAAUGUACGCUUUGCAGUUUAUCCAAGAUGUAUUAAGCUAAUAUUGAAUAAAGAGAAGUGUUUGUCCUCCCUCCCUCUGCAUUUUGUUGUCCAAAAACGGAGAAAACAAUCUCCUCCUUGGGGGCGGGGGAUUAUGGAGUUAAAAGGUUGAGGAGGCAAACUAGAUGCAAAAAGCAUAUGGUUUGGCUCAGCUCUCAUAAUCAUAAAGCAUCCAUACUCGGCUCUUCAAUGCUCCUUGUGUGCAUUCAAGUAUUGCUAUCCCAAGUGUGUUGUUGAUGAAUUAACAAGUGGUGGGUGUCAAUAUUGAUUGAAUUAGACAUAAUAUGACACGAGAAAAAUAUAGGUUUUAUGUAAUUUCUUCAUCUUCUAAUACAGAUGGUACUAUUAAUUAUUUCUACAUGAUAAAAUAGAUAUUUACAAAUAAGUUCUUCAAAAAUUCAAUUUGUUCUUACAGUCUUAAUUGUGAAAACCUCCACCGAGAAAGAAAAGAAAGGAUUUUUUUUUUUCAGCCCUUCCAUUUAGUGUUUAUGAGUGAAUUUGUGUCAUGUAGCCAUAGUAUUAUUAUGUUCUAUAAGCUUUUGUGGGGCACCAUUACUAUAAAUAAGAUCUCCAGAUUCAAAGAUGAAAGCUCGAAGCAUAAUUGAGAGAGUAAUUUGAUGACCCAAAGGUUAUUUGUUGACCUUGGGAUUUUCAUAGUCAUGUCCAGCAUUCAUGUGUUCAAAACCUCCUUCCUUCAACUCUUCUCCUCCUUGCAUCCACGUGCUCAAAACCUCAUUCCUUUAACUCUUCUCCGCGGUUACCAAGCGUCAAACCCUUGACACAAGCCUUAUACCCUUAACGUUGAGAUUGUAAACUUGAUAUGUAAUACAAUAAGGCAUUGAGGCUUGUCCACCUCUUUUAUGCUUUGGAUUUUGAAGCACUCUGCGUGAAGGGAUAGAAGAGAGAGGGAAAGAGAGCAAAGUUGGUCGACUUGCAUGAUUGCUGAAAAUGGUUGUAGAAUUUGUUGCACCAAGUUGAUUGGAAGGAAUCCUUGAUGGCAUCAGGUUCAGUACUUGUAUCUUUAGCUUUGGUUAGCACAUUUUCUUUGUAUAUGUCCACAAUUUGGUGAUCUUUGGCUUGUCAAACAUGUAGACAUGCCAUGUUCAGAAGUUCAGUAGUUAUUGUAUGUAAGCUACAGAAUUUUCUAUUCUUCGUUCUUGUUGGAGGGACAUCCCUCAUUCCUUAAAGCCGACACGAUACCAAACAAUAUUUUCUCUUUGUGGAUAAAAAGCAGAGCACAAGAACAUUGCUCCUAUUUUGUAAUCUUCCAUUUUCAUUCAUCAUUAGAUCUGCAAACUUCACCACUCUCCAAAACCAAAGAAGCAAUCAAUCUGUGAUGUUUCCAAAUUUCAGCAUUUCUUAAUUUUUCCAGAAUUUUGUUGAUGCAAGGGCAUUUUGGUCAUUUUGCAUGUUGCGUUUGGGAUUGUGGUUGAGUCCAUUUGCAAUUGGUGCAUUUUAAUUUAUGGAAUCAUGUAGUAUGUGCUUGGUGGUGCAUUUAUAUGUGAGAUGAAUUUUCAAGUGAAAGAAAAGAAAAUGAGUGGUGGGACCCACCACUGCACAAAGUGGUCUAGAGACUACAUUUUCACUCUCAUUUUCUCUCUCCCCGUAUUUCUCUCUCUCUCAAUUCUCAUCUUGCCUUUUUUUUUUUCUUUUUUUCAAGCCAAUCUUUGAGACUUGAUUUCUCUUACUAGGCGGAUUUGGGUUCUGUUUGAGGUAAAACGAAGAGCACGACGAGCUCUACGCAUCCAUACCAGCAAUUUCAGAUUUAGUACCCUCCUUGUAUUUCGAAAUUUCAAGACCCAUUUUAAGGGUUUUGGUGCAAUCUUGAGGUCUUGGGAAAGAACCAGUGGACGAUAAUCCACCUCAAGCUUGAGAGAUGUUAGAAGAUCAUUUUUUUGUUCCUUUUGUAUUAGGCCACCUUCUUGUAUAUGUAUAGUUUUGGAAAUGUAAUUAAAGUUGUUCAAACGGCCUUGUAAAUUAAGAAUGGAACUUACUUUGUUGAUGUAAUUGGAAUGUUGGAAGUAUUGUAUAUACAUAAUUCUAUGUAUUUCAAUCAAUGGUGUUGUAAUGUGAUCACGAGUUA